GACGAACCGUGCGAACGUUGUUCGGAAUCACUGGGCUUAAAGGGCGCGUAGGCGGGCUGACAAGUCUGGGGUGAAAUACCGCGGCUCAACCGUGGAACUGCCUUAGAUACUGUCAGCCUCGAGGGAGGUAGGGGCGUGCGGAACUGUAGGUGGAGCGGUGAAAUGCGUUGAUAUCUACAGGAACUCCGGUGGCGAAAGCGGCGCGCUGGACCUCUUCUGACGCUGAGGCGCGAAAGCUAGGGGAGCAAACGGG
rnacentral:rRNA from 1 species